UUUACCUGCUUAUUAUUUUUUUUCCCUUUUGGUCUUGUCAUAGCUGGAAGGUAUCAUCCUAAAACAUUUUGUGAGAAUGAGAAUUAUUGGUAUUUACUCUCUCCAUGUCAUAUGUAUUUAUAUUCUGGUCUUGUGACAUUCACACAACCUCCAAUUUAUUUGUUUUCUUCUUUUUGUUGUCAACAGAGCUGCUUGACAGGGUUGUCUGGGGAAUACAACCUUACCCUGUCAAAUGCCUUUCAAUGUUUUUCUUCUCCUUCCUUACCCCCGUUUCAUCGUGUACCUGCAAUGGGACUCUAUUUCUGUAAAAGCAAGAUAAAGGAACACAAAAUGUACUCUUUCCCUAAUUGGAUAAAGUGAGAAAGGAUAUUAGAAAACCACCCAAUGGAACUGAUAAAAAUGAGUUGGAACUUGUGACCAGCAGCUGGAUGAGAGGAGUGUGAAUCCCCCAAAUCUUAUGGAUAUAGUGUGCUUUCUUUGAUGUUCCUGCCAAAGUGAGGCUGGAAAGCUAGGAAGAUCUGUAAGACGUGUGCCAGCACAAAGUGACUACAAUUCAAAAGUUCCAAAAACCUUGCUUGAAACAAUUGCAAAUAGCUCAUCAUUUUAAACCAGUGAACCCAAGGCUGAGUGUUUCAUCAAUUUACAGAAAACCAAGAAGAGAAAUCUGACAGCUAUCCCAGUGUAUGACUUACCAUGGAGAUCUUCAAAUAGAAUCACUUUGGUUUGGGUCUCAUUUUCAUAUUAUAACACAAAUUUGUGUAUGUGGGUUAAGAUUCAUAUUUGAUAGGAACUGCUGGGAAUUCUUGCAGUUAUAUCCUCAAAAGACAAAAUAAGCAUAACCAACAGAAUUGUGAAGCAAUAAAGUUGAUUAUGGAUGAAAACUGGGCUGAACAGUCAUAGGACAUGACUUGUUCCUUUGACCUAAAAUGUGCUUUUCUUUCCUUAUCUACCCAGUGUAAUGGUACUACUCUUUCAACCAUCUUGAAUUCACUCACACUUAUUCGUCAAAUCCUGCUCAGCUAUUCCCACUACCCACAAAGUGUACCUUUUUCGUAUUCCUUACUUUUUAUACAUUAGCUCAUUUUCCCCCAAACAAUGCAAUAAAGUAAAAAAUAUUACUCUAUUUUAUAGAAACUUGCAGCUCAGAAAGGAUAAGAAACUUGCAAGUUGAUCCAAAAUAAAUUUCUAAAAAGCA
rnacentral:lncRNA from 1 species